CUGAAAAAGGAUUUUAAAUAAAGGCAGCUUCAAUCUCAAAAGUUUUUUCUCUUUCUCCUUUUUCUUCACACUUAAGAGCAUGAUAAGCAACCCCCAAAUGAGGACUUCUAAAGACCUAGAAACAGUCUGAAACUUGAAAUCACUCUGAGAAUCUCCACCACUGUUUCUCUGGGGUUGUCUACCUGAUGGCACCAGAACCAGAUGAGAGGAAUGCAGAAUAUGAUUUGGCCAAGAUUUUGAGUUGCGUCCUGAAUGGCAUUCAUCAACGUGCAUGACAAAAAUUGAAUCAACGUCGCAAAGUCACGGAUCAUCUCCGUGUGUCACAGGAGCCGAGGAAGACAGAAGAGGAUCCAGAACAUAUCACGUGUCCGUGGUGUCUGCUCGACGUGUUAUAGACUUCAUCACGUCUAUUCCCCAAAUAACCCUUUUGUAGAUAAGAAAAGAGUCUCAGAGAAGUCAGCUAACUUGCCCAAGGUCACAGGUUAAUAGGUAACAAAGCUGGAGAUUCAACCUUGGGUCCAAGUGCAUUUUCUUUCCCUGCACAGCCUUCUCCUGGAAUUGGAUGGAAGAAUAAUGGGGGCCCUGUGCACCUAUUGACCACUGUGGUAUACUUUUGUAAGAGUAGAGCACAUGCUUGAUAUUCAGAAGAAUUACACUUGGAGAGGAGAGAGUGACGCCCAGCGACACUGUGUCCCAGUUAUUUAUGACAGUCCCAAUUUCUGCCGCACCUCGUGAAUAUUCCCCUGUGUAACUGAACCUGAGCUCUGGUUUUUGCUUUAGAAAGUCUUGUCAGCAUCGGUAGAGGUUAUCCUGAAUAACAGACUUAAGGAUAAUGACUCUUUUUUCUAGCUCAGGACAUUAAAUGAAGUUCAGAGGAGAGCCUCCCUGUGUGAAAACACAAGGAUUCCAUUCCAUGGUGCUCUGGAGGAAGGACAGACAUAUCCAGAAAUGACCAAGCUGCAGUCAGCUCUUCCCACAAGGAAGGGCUCCUGUUUGGGAGCUUAAAAUGGAAGCAGAGACAAUGUUGAGAUGUAAGAGAAGGAGAACUGUUCCUUAAAGCAGAAGGGCUUUCUCUAGGGCUUUCUCCCAUUGCAGCUCAGCAAGUCUAAGAACAUUGGUAUCUAGAUAAACUGGGGAGAGACAUCUAAAAGGAGGGGUGACCCCAACUCUGGGAAGUAGGUUGCUAUGACAACAGUGGACCAGUGAGCCUUCAGGGCAUUCCGCUUCUGGAGGUGGUUGCCGUGCACCAGCCGCAUGGCGGGCACUCUGCUUGGGGCUGGGACGCAGUAAUGCUAAAAUUCAGUCCUUCCUUUCAAGGAGUUAACUCUCUGGAGGGGGAGACAGAGAGGUACACAGUGAGGUACAAAAGUUGUCCCGGGGGAUUUUUCAUAAUUCUGCAGUGUCAGGGCAAGUCAGGAAAGGCUUACUAGAUAAGAUGCCAGACACUAUCUUAAGUAUUUUAUGUAGGUUUCCAGUGAUGAAUAGGCAUUUCCCAGAGAGCUUCCUUCUUAAUAAAAAGCUACUUCAUGAAGAUUGGCCUUUGGGAAGAGAAUUCACCAGUAGAGAUCACAGCAGGGCCAUUACUGCCCCCUAAGUUAGACCUUUGCAUUUCGGGGGCAUCAAGGAUGGAGAUCCCAUCCAGCUCAGAGUGUGGGCAUCUUGAGGGUAGCUCUGUAUCUUGUUCUUUCUUGUGUUCCCACUGUUGAACACAAUGUUCAAUAAAUGUUUGAUGGAUUGGUGAAUGAAUGAUUGAACAGAUCAUCAAAUUAAAAAAUG